UAUGACACUGUUGCCAUCAUGAAGCUGACUUUUGUUAUCUUCUGUUUGACUACAAUAGUAACUUCUCGACAAAUACCAGCAGCUCAAAAUGAUUAUGACUUUGCAGCAAAUCAAGAAAUUGUUAAGGAAUCUGCUGUUCCACAAGACACAUAUGAAAAUUCAUGUUUUGAAGCAUCAUCUGAUGAGGAGGAGGAU